rnacentral:rRNA from 1 species
UGUCCUUUAAAUGGGGACCCGUAUGAACGGCCACAUGAGAAAGAGACUGUCUCUUUAGGCCAGUCGAUGAAACUGAUCCCCCUGUACAAAAGCAGGAAUAACAAAGCAAGACAAAAAGACCCUGUGAAACUUAAAAUUAACUGUCAACCCACUGACAAUAACUUUUAGUUGGGGCAACUAAAGAGAAACAAAACCUCAUACCACACUACCAAGAUCAACAAAUCCAGGUAAACCACCACACCGACCCAGCACCGCUGAUCAAAGAACCAAGCUACUCCAGGGAUAACAGCGCCACAUUCUUGAAGAGUCCACAUCAACAAGAAUACCUACGACCUCGAUGUUGGAUCAGGAUAACCUGAUGGUGCAGAAGCUAUCAAGGGUUCGUUUGUUCAACGAUUAAUAA